rnacentral:rRNA from 1 species
ACGAACGCUGGCGGCGUGCCUAAUCCAUGCAAGUAGAACGCUGAAGGAGGAGCUUGCUCUUCUGGAUGAGUUGCGAACGGGUGAGUAACGCGUAGGUAACCUGCCUGGUAGCGGGGGAUAACUAUUGGAAACGAUAGCUAAUACCGCAUAACAGUAGAUGUUGCAUGACAUUUGCUUAAAAGGUGCAAUUGCAUCACUACCAGAUGGACCUGCGUUGUAUUAGCUAGUUGGUGGGGUAACGGCUCACCAAGGCGACGAUACAUAACCGACCUGAGAGGGUGAUCGGCCACACUGGGACUGAGACACGGCCCAGACUCCUACGGGAGGCAGCAGUAGGGAAUCUUCGGCAAUGGACGGAAGUCUGACCGAGCAACGCCGCGUGAGUGAAGAAGGUUUUCGGAUCGUAAAGCUCUGUUGUAAGAGAAGAACGAGUGUGAGAGUGGAAAGUUCACACUGUGACGGUAUCUUACCAGAAAGGGACGGCUAACUACGUG